GCAAACUUGGUCAUUUAGAGGAAGUAAAAGUCGUAACAAGGUUUCCGUAGGUGAACCUGCGGAAGGAUCAUUAUUGAAAACAUUGUAAAGGAAGGUUGAGCUGGCUCUUCUAGGGCAAGUGCUCGCCUUUCUUUCAAUUAUCAUUCAUCCACCUGUGCACCUUUUGUAGGAAGUCCCAAGAAAUUGGGUCUCUCCUAUGUCUUUUACACACCCUGAUUGUAUGUUUUCUGAAUGUCUUUUAUAAAGGGGACUUAGUUGGACCCUUUUAACAAAAACUAUACAACUUUCAGCAACGGAUCUCUUGGCUCUCGCAUCGAUGAAGAACGCAGC
rnacentral:misc_RNA from 1 species